rnacentral:tRNA from 1 species
GGGGGGUGUACUUUGCUAACAAACCUUCCCCUUGGGAAACGAUUUAAAUGGGAAAGUGUUGGGGUAAAUAGUGUUGUGGUGAGAGUUACUGACUAUACCGGCUGGGGGUCACGAAGUGCAAGCGGCUCGGGCUGGCUGAUCUAUUGGUUCUCUCUGUAUUUAAAACAAAGGAUAUUUGUGGUGGCUGGAUGGGCUGGGCGGCUCGGAUGGCUCAGGCCGGUGUUACGUUUUGGACCCUACCAUUAUUUGUCAGUGUCAUGUGGAUGCAUUUGGAAAUGCGUGCACAUGGAGGUGUGUACGGGGGAUGGACAUGUGUCUUGGCGGAUGGAUGUUUGUCUGCUUGUCCGCACGCAUGGACAUGGGCUCAGUAGGACCGAGGGUAACGUAGCUCCUUACUUAGGUAUCUGAACAUCUUUGAUAAUAUAGAUAAUUGUUUGUGAGUGGAUCUCUAUGUAUUUGAAGGGAGGCUGUUGUUAUGAAUGUGACUUGGGUCUCUGCUCUCUAUCCAGCAUUGAUGUUGAGUGAUAUGUAUGAAUUUCAAUAUCUAUCCUGCAACAACAAAAAAAGUACCCUAUCGUCAUACUUGAGUAAAAGUAAUGAUUCCGUAAUAGAAAAUAACUCAAGUAAAAGUCAACCAGUAGAAUACUACUUGAGUAAAAGUCUAAAAGUAUUUGGUUUUAAAUAUACUUAAGUAUCAAAAGUAAAUGUAAUCGCUAAAAUAUAUUUAAGUAUCAAAAGUACAAGUCAUUUCUAAUUCCUUAUAUUAAGCAAACCAGAUAGCACCAUUUUCUUUUCUUUUUUUUCACGGAUAGAGAAGCAUGUGUUUAGUGAGUCUGUCAGAUCAGGCAGUAGGGAUGACCUCUUGAUACGUGCGUGAAUUGGACCAUUUUCCUGUCCCACUAAGAAUGAUAAAUGUAAUGACAACUUUUGUGUGUCAGGGAAAAUGUACGGAGUAAAAAGUUAAUUAUUUUCCUUAGGAAUGUAAGUGAAGUAAAAGUCAACGCUGUCAAAAAUAAAUAGUAAAAUAAAGAUACCAAUACAGAUACCCCCCAAAAACUACUUAAGUAGUACUUUAAAGUAUUUUUACAGCACUGAACAUGAAUGUAGGAAUGACAAUUGAAAACAGCGAUAGUCUUGAAAAUACUAUUUCAUCCAAUGUAGGGUUCUAACAUAAGUCUGGAAUAUGGAAUUGUUUCCUUUUUUAAGGGCAUUUGAGUGCCUUGCACCGUAUCUGUACAAGGAUGAAUUCAAAUGUAUGACUAUUCAGUCAGGAGUACCAUCUGGUACAAGGGAGAUACUGUACAGUAGGAGUUACUUUCUGUUACUCCCCUAGUAGGAGUCACUCCCUUAUCACAAGGCUCAUUUUCAUUCCUGCCAUACUGAAUUGUGGAAAGGGAAGAAAAACAGGUUCAACACUUACAUACAGUAGCUAUUUUAAGUGCCAGUCGGCAUUGAGUUUGAUGUCCUUCAAAUCAGGAAACAUUAGGCAAGAAAAUAGAAAUAUAUCAAGCUGACCUGUACGGUGACCCUACAGAACAUCCAAAUGAAAAGGUAAGCUAUGAAGACCUGUCUUUUGUAUUACUGAAUAACCUGGAUGCCACUGCUUUUAGUUGUCAUAUUUGGCAUUCUUUGGCAUGACAAGUUGAAAGGGGUGCUACAACACUGGCACCCAGGCAAGUGUUACAAUCAACAGUAACCGUGAGCUCAAGGUUUAACUAGCCAACUGAGCAUAUUAUCUUGUUACCAUGGCUUUUGGCCAUGUUUAGAAUGUCUGUCAGCCUUCCCUGUAGCUCAGUUGGUAGAGCAUGGUGUUUGCAACGCCAGGGUUGUGGGUUCGAUUCCCACGGGGGGCCAGCACAGAAAAAAAUGUAUGAAAUUGUAUGAAAUGUAUGCAUUCACUACUGUAAGUCGCUCUGGAUAAGAGUGUCUGCUAAAUGACUAAAAUGUAAAAAAUGUCUGCUUAUAUCAGGUACAAAAUAAUGAACGGAAGGGAUUGACAAGCAAAGGAUACAGUAUUAUGUAAUAUAGGAUGCCGCCACAUAAAUAGAUUUCGUGUCUCAUUGUACAGUAAUACAGAGCAGGUUAAAAAUACGCAAGAAAGGUUUGAAUAUUUUAAUAGCAAUUCUGAAACUGCUCUGAAUACGUAGUAUUGUUUUAUAUCUUUUGUGAUGGUUAAUUUCAUUACUAUCAAAUGAGGAGAGACAAACUUAUCACACAAGUCAGAGUUAUACUUAAACUAAAUCUUUAAUCACUUAUUAAUAAGGGAGCAGGUCAAUACAACACACACACAUAAAGUGAAUAGAUUGAGUGCUCUACGAUAAUGAUGGCUGGUCGACGAAUCACCCUCAGGUGAUUCGUUGAGAGCCCGAGACAAAAGUACAAAGGUAUUUUAUAGCUAAGAUACACCCCUUUCAACCUACAUGAUGAACAACAGAUGUAUAGAAUGGGUCACAAGGUUAAGAUUUGUAUGAAAGAUACUUAUAAUUCACAGCAGACAGUAUUUUCUAUAAAGACAGUUUUCAUUGUAUAGAGACCAGUGUCUGGCCCCCAACUCCAUACUGGAGUCAUGUCUUCCUGGUACCGUAUAGAACAGAAACAUUAACUCAUGCUCUGUAAUGCGGUCUCUUUAGGCUUUAUCCCCCAAAAGACAUCGUAAAUCUCCUGUCAGUGUUAUCUCCCAGAGGCCCAUCCUCAGUAGAACACACACAGAUGAGCGUUCCAACAACCCCUUAUUCUGUUGCAUAAAACAACCAUUUGAUGCAAUAAUAGCAUUAUAACAUAAUCUUGUAAUUUUCACCAUACUAUGUUGCCACAGAACCAUCUCCAAGGGGAAAAAAAUGAUGUCAAGCCCAUUGAAACACAUUUUAUGCAUAUACUGUAGCUAACAAUCAUCAAAAUACAGCUUAUUGUUGUUUGAUUUGAAUAGCAUUUUGCCACCAAAGCCCAUUCAAAUACAUUAGGGGGAUAUGCCUCUGCCCCUGAAAACGGGAGUGAUAGAGUGCACGUUUAAAUGCUGUUGCAAACUCUUUCGCUCUUUGUCCUCAGCAUUGUAAAAUCUAAAUAGCUCUGCAGAUGUGAUGGAAACACAGCAUAUCCUGGUCUGGCGUAUUUGUCUGAUCCUGGCCCUCUGUGAGUUUUUUUUAAUAAUCCACUUUAUGGUACAGUAACGUGUACAUAAGACGUACAGUAACUCCUUGUCUAUCUUUCCUCAGUGCCCCACCCACACCAAUGCCUGUCAGUGCAUUUCCAGAACAAGGGUCUCCUUUAUGUGGCUCCGGGGAGAGAGCUGGUCCUGCAGACCCAGUUCCAGAUUACACCAACAGAGAAGAUCAUCAUGGUGAUUUGGGACCGCCAGACUGAGAAGGGUCAGGGACAGGUCAGGCUGGCCAAUCACCAAGAUGCACCUGGCAAUCCUCUAGACCAGAAGGAGGCCUCAUUUAGGGUGGAGAAUAUAAGUUCAUCUGACUAUGGAAUGUACACCAUCACUGUGACUGACCAGAUGGGGAACGAGCAAUCAGCAAAUAUACUUGUUAGAGAGAUUGUUGCUGCUCCUGUAGCGUCUUUGUCGCUCCAGUGUGAGGUGGCCAAUGACAGGGCACAGUGGGACAGCCCAGUGUUUUCCUGGUUGGUGGAUGGGGUAGAGCUGUCCAAUCAGACAGACAAUCUCUCUGCAGAUGGCAGGAGACUCUACGUGUCCGGAAUGAAGGGCCACAACUACACCUGUGUUGUCAACAGCAGUCUGGGGACAAGUGUCACAUACUACGUCACUGAUUCUCCUACACCAUCCCAAAGUAUCCAAUCCUGUAACACUCUGUGUGGUGUAUUACUGGGCUUCAUCAUAGCGAUUCUAAUCACAUGUGGAUAUCUCUACUGGAAAUGCAGACAGCGGAGGACAUGACCUUAGGAGGGCCAUCGCGUUCCGUUAUCAGUCUUAUUUAUGGCACUUAUUUAUGGCACUUAUUAAUGGCACGCUCACACAAGUCUUUAAUAUUCUAUUGCAAUAAGUCACACUACCAGACCAAAUAUGAUUCCUAUCAAGAGCUGUGGCCCUAUUCACCAUCACUAAAAUAUAUUUAUAUGCCUAUUUAUCAAAUUAAAAUUGUAUUGGUCACAUACAUAUAUUUAGCAGAUGUUAUUGCGGGUAUAGUGAAAUGCUUGUUAUUGGUGUAUUACAUUUUACAUUUACGUCAUUUAGCAGACGCUCUUAUCCAGUGCGACUUACAAAUUGUAUUUCUAUGCCUAUUUGUGGUAUUUAUUGAUGCAGUGUCCACACGUAUAUUUUGACUAAUUAUAUCUUUGUAUCUUUUUUUUUGAAAGUACUCUAUGCCAUCACAUUUACAUUGUGCACAUGUACAAAUGAACCUAAACUUAAACCUACUUUUGUGAUGAUAUAAAGCAAAUGGGAAAAAAUUCACAUUAUUGUGACGGAGCAUGUGUGGAUUUAACCUAUUUCAUAACCUGAUAGGAAAUCUUUGAAAGCGUCCACUUUGCUACACUUCCAUAGGAGACAGUGAAGAGACAUAGAAACACAGCAGUCUGGAUGAGUGAGGAAAAGCACAGCACCACCUAUUUAAUAGCGCCAUCCACUGGCUUGUUUUAGAAAUUCCUCUAUUCAAAAUAUCACUUCAAUUUGUAACUUUGGUUUUAGAAGUGGGGGGGGGGAUAAAAAAUCCAAACAUCCUACCUGACCGCUCGGAGUCGUCUGCAUGGUCCUAAAGAACACCGUUGCCUCGUUUUGUAUGACAUUCUAAUGAUAAAACUGGGGGGGGACAAAAAAAUGGAUGUCAUUGUCAUUCACAGAGAACUUGAAUUGGAAAUACUGUACCGUAUUGUUAUUUGUUUUUGCAAAUGUAGAUAAGAUGAUUUAAUUAAAGUCGCACUCCAGUCUCCUUUUCACCUGAUUUACUUAACAAAAGGCACUUGGUGGUCCAGGUAUGUUCAUGACAUAGCACAAGUGGAGGGUGGGCCUUUCUGCAUUUGUUCUCUAUUGCUUCUCUAUUGUUUCUGCAAGCAAUAGCAGAGACCGAUGACAUUAGAGGGCUAUCAGCCCAACUCCUUGAAUGGCCUACUCCAAGCACGAACCACCACAUUUAACCUUGGCAAGGUGACGGGGAAUAUGGUAGAAUACAAAUAGAGUAGUAGUUCCCUCUGCAAGGCAAUCAAACAGGCAAAACGUCAAUAUCGAGACAAAGUUGACUCGCAAUUCAACAGCUCAGACAUGACACAUAUGUGGCAGGGUUUACAGACAAUCACUGACUACAAAAGGAAAACCAGCCAAGUCGCUGAGACCGCCGUCUUGCUGCCAGACAAGCUAAACACAUUCUUUGCCCGCUUUGAGGACAACACAGUGCCACCGACGCGGCCAGGUACCAAGGACCGUCGGAUCGCCAUGGACGACUCUGCUGUCCCCACAUGCUUCAAGAUGGCCACCAUUGUUCCUGUACCCAAGAAUGCAAAGAGGCUGUGCACCACCCCUCAGUGAGAGUGAACGCGUCCCACUCCUCCCUGUUCUGUGUGGAGACCUGGGGGACAGACCUUAAAUUCAGCUGGCUCCACGAGCGGGCAGCCAUCUCCGAUGCUGUGGGACACGUGUCGCCUGAUGGGAAGACCCUGUUCAUCUCCUCCUCCCCCAUCUGUGGUCACUUCACCUGCAUGAGCCGUGUGAGAGAGAGGACAAAAGGACCACGGUGGCAGUGGUCUGGCUCAUCAUCCUACUGGUCUGUGGAGCAGUGCUAGCUUUUCUACUGUGGAGGAGACACAGGCGAUACAGUAACAGAGGAGAGAGGCUUCAGGAGCAUUUUGAGGACAACUUGUAACGGUGAACCAUUGAUUACAGUACCCAAGUACUUUCGCUACACUCCCCUACUCAAAGAUGGACUCAUAAAAGGACAGUAAGUGUGCAAAACGCUUUGGGAGGAGCUUCCUUCCCUGUGAGCAGCAAGACCUUUCAGUGCAUUGGAACAAUGUGGAAAGUGAACUGCUUUGUUGGCCAAUUGACGAGUUCUAAAAUUGGAAAGAUCAACUUUUGCCCAGUGUGUUGCCUGUUUUUGUAGAAGCUAUCAUUUUUAUCCCGCCUCUCAUUGUACUGAACUACACUUGAUAUUUUUUUAUGUAACGC